UCCCACCCCAGAGAGUAAGGGAGACUCAGGAAGAUUGGAACCAACUUGCUUCACACCCCAACCCAGUGUGGAAGUAUGUGUAGGGGUGGCAUAGUGAUGGUGAGGGGACAGGAAAAUAUUCCUGGGAGUGCCAAGCAUGGUGGCACACGCUUGUAAUCCCAGCCCUUGGGAAGCUGAGGCAGGAGGAUUGCCGCAAGUUCAGAGCUAGCCUGGGCUAUGUAGUAAGUUCAAGGCCAGCCUAAAGUACACAGUGAGACUCUGUUUCAACCAGCCAAACAAACAAACACUCUUAGGAGAAGAACAAAGGAAGACAAAAGGCUAAGUGUACUUGAGGAUUUCCUCUAUACACUUGAGUUUCUUUUCCCUCUGUAGUGCUUGAUUGUGUCAGCUUGAGUUUAGAAGCUUAACUGAAUCAGCCCAGGUGUAGAGGACCCCAGGGUGGCGCAUCAACUGGACAGUAUAAAAGGGAAAUGAGGCAGGCUGGAUGGGCUUCUGUUCUUCAGAGGAGCUCCAGUCAUCGCCUUUAGCUUGGGCAUCGCUUCCUGGCUUCCGGCAUAGACUCGUCAGCCUCCCAUGGCAGACCCAUUGGCCUCCUGAUAUGGACAAGCACGGGACCCUGCAGGGAGCUCCAGAUCUCGGACUGAAUUAGUCCUUCAGCCUCCAGUGUGCAGACACCCUCUGCACUCUUCCUCAUCCAACUCUGUGGCUGACCAUCGCAUCUAAUCCUGAGGAUCUUCACUCCUGCUCCACUUGAGUCGUCUCCUGUCAGGCUCCAGGUCCUCUGACAUAGCCUGCAGAUCCUGUUUCUGAAGCAGAAGAGGUUGCCGUGGGGCUCAGUGUUUCAAGGAAAGUCACAGUGGGAGACUGAAUGUUGGGGGCAGCCGUGCACAGAGCCCUGGGUGAGUUGAGAUCCACCGUGGCUGACGUGGGAGUAGAAACCUUUUAGCCAGAAGAGUCCACCUCCAAGCCAGGCGGUGCAGCCAGGAGAGGCCCGGUGCUCAGCGCCUCGCCAGCCUGCCCCGGCGGUGGGCACAAGGACCGGACGGAGUCGGGCUUCCUGUUCUCAUUCUGCGAAACCCAAGCAUCACAUACUACUUUUUAUUUUCUUCUCUUCUGCUGCCGAUGACUAAAGUAGGCCACAGUCCUACUGAUAGACAGGAAAUGAUACUUAUGUAACUCCCACCCUGCUAGAUGUCAGACACAGCAAGGUUGUCUCCCCAAAAUCGAAGAGUGAAUUCUAAGGAACAACGGAGGUCAAGAGCAGGAAAAAUUUGAGAGCUCCUGAGAUAUAGGAGGGGACCCAAGAGUGGGUGGCCAGGGACACCACUUUACAGAGGAAGUUUUAUAGAGCAGAAUCACAAGCUAGGUACAGAAUCACGAGGUGGGUAUAAUGUGGGUCAAAACUAUGAUCAACCACUAACAUAGUGAGUAUAGCCUGAUCCAAUAGGGAAGUAAGUCACGUAGCAGGUAUACAUGGAAAGAACACAGACCUUUUUAGGAAGGGAUGGAUCAGGAGGACCUGGCCACCCUCCUUGGUGACUGAUGUCUAUCUACACUUUAUUGGACCAGGGAUACCCAUUAUAGUGUAACUUUCAAUUUACUGCUUAUCCCGUGGGGAGAGGGGAGGCAUAUAGACCUGGUCAUUCCAUCUUUAUCUUGAGGGCUGCCCUUCAACAAAUGUAACUCCAGCCACAGUUGUGAUGCGUUUUGAUGCCCCAAACUGACUCCCUCAAGGGCCUAUAACAUUUCUACCUAUCUGAGCUGUCUAUAAUACCACGGCCUCCACUGGAAUGUGCUACAGCUCUAGGCAAACAGGUAUAACUCCUUUUGUGACUCAUCAACCUGGUAUCUCUUUGUCCUUAUUCUGUCUCUGUUUCUCUCUUUGACUCUGUAUCUGUCUUGUCUCUAUCUCUGUGUCUUUCUGUCUCAGAGUCUCACUGUGUAGCUCAGGCUGGUCUCAAACUUGCCAUGUGUCCCAGAUCACACUCCAACUUGUGAUCCUCCUGCCUCAGCCUCCUGAAUGCAUAAGCCACCAUGCCCCUUCCCCUUUAUGACAGCUACUGUGUGCUUCCUCUACACUUGCUACAUAUGAAGCAAUAUUUUUAUUCAGCAUCAGGAAUCAAACCCGGUACCUUGCGCUUGCCAGGCAGGCGCUGUGCUGCUGAGCUAUAUCCCCAGCCCUACUGUGUGCUUCCGAUGGGCCAGGAAGUGUGCUAAGCUAUGUGCAGGCACCAUCUCAUUUCAGGCGAGAAAAGUGAGGCUUGGAAAGUUAUGAAGGUGGUCACAUGAUUUGUAAGAGGUGGAGCUGGGAUUUAAACUCUUACCUUUCUGAUUCAGGAUGCAUUCCUGCCUUCCUAUGAUUGUAAAGACUGACCUUUCAGUCUGCCUGUAAAGUUCACAGUCUUAUUUGGACUAGCUUUAGAGAACAGCGCUUACUGUGCCCUUACUUAGUUCUUUACGAGAUAGUAGGAAAUGGCAUUCCUAGGAAAUUUCUAUCAACGUCUAAUUAAAUUAAAAAUUUUUUUAUUCAUACGUGUUUGUAAUACAUUAGGUUCACAUCGCUUGUGGGGAAUUGGAACAUAUUUAUUAUACAUCUUAAUUUCUUUGUUUUUAAUCCACUUCUGUUGAUAUGUUAUCAAAAGACUAAAAGUAUAAAUUUUUCCCAUCUGCUGAUAGACUCUGAAUUACUUUUGCCUUGUUUUCUUUCUGUAAUCAAUGUUUUUCCACCUCCACAUGGCAGCUGGUAAGUGUUGAACCUGCUGAAACCAAUGUUAUUAUGAGUCAAAACCAGUAAAAUAUCAGCGAUUUCAUGCAACUCAACCUGACAGUUGUCAUUAUGAUUUAAAACCCCCAGAUCUUACUCUCCUUUCAAGAUUCAGCC